rnacentral:rRNA from 1 species
UACGUAGGGUGCAAGCGUUGUCCGGAAUUAUUGGGCGUAAAGAGCUCGUAGGCGGUUUGUCGCGUCUGCUGUGAAAACCCGAGGCUCAACCUCGGGCCUGCAGUGGGUACGGGCAGACUAGAGUGCGGUAGGGGAGAUUGGAAUACCUGGUGUAGCGGUGGAAUGCGCAGAUAUCUGGAGGAACACCAAUGGCGAAGGCAGAUCUCUGGGCCGUAACUGACGCUGAGGAGCGAAAGCAUGGGGAGCGAACAGG